CUGAAAGAGAGCAUAUCAAGUUUGGGAAGAUUGAUUUUUCCUCUGUUUAUCUACUGGUUCUAUUACUGGGCAUCGUCAAUUAGCAGUAAUUUAUUUAUUCAAAAUUGAAUUUUUGAGCUACUCUCAAGAGGAGCACUGGUAAGUUUACUUCAGUCUUUAUAUGGCAGCUGAAACACUUUCAUUUGCAGUUCAGAUCUGUUUCUUGAAAGCUUGAUUUAAAUAAAAAUAAAGCUAUUUUAGGCUUAAAUAACUUGUUUUUUCUUUUUCAGUUUCGCCAGUGGAAGAAACACAACUGCACCUUCCAACAUAUAAUUAAAGGUUAACAUGGAUGUCGCUCUUUUAGGAAUUUAACCCUAUUUGUGUGGAAUUUCCAAGGAUGUAGCUCUUUGGUGUUAACUGUAUACAAAUAUAUGCGUUAAAAAUUAAAGUAUAGAAAGAUUUUGCAAAUGUCUGAUGCUUUGUUUCUUUAGCUUCUAUUUAUUUAUUUCAUAUUUAUUGUUUUUAAGGAAUGUUUUCAGAUAUUUUAAGGGUAUAAAAAUACUUAUUUCAUAGCUCCAGUUAGGAAAAAAAAUAUUUAAAAGAGAAUCUCACUAUCAGUCUAAUAAAUAUUCAAAUGUUUAAAGCUUCUCAGCUGGACUUUAAAGGUUGAUCGUUUCGCUGCUCACCAGGGUAUGAGUCUGUCACUCUCUUGUUGGAAGAACUGCCCUGAUUGGUCAAACCAGCUCAUUGAAGGCGGGGCUAAGACCAAAAACGGGUCGUGAAUGGUCAAUCGGCGGAUGAGUCAUAAAGUUCAAGCAGCUUCUUCUAAGUUUCCAAGUUAAGAUGGGAAGACUGUAAUGAGUUCUCCCCCUCUGACACAAACGGAGGCGUCUGAAGUAAAAAACUCUCCCACGGAGACGGGAAUAGCCUCUAGGGGGCCAUGUCUGGCAGCAGCAGUUCCAACAGCUGGACCAUCCUCUCUUCUGAGGAAACGUCUGCAGAAACUCUGAAGCCCGUUGCACCAAACACACAACAGCAUGACGGAGGCCACGAAUCUACAGCAGGUGUCUGAAACUAAUAUUUAGACGCGUUUAUGUCUGAGGAAAAAAAACUGACCAUAAUAUUCCUAUACUAAAAGCUUUUUCUGCUCCAUUUUCUUUUUUUUUUUUUUUUUAAAGAUACGGUAAAAAUAUUUAAUGUGCUCAACUCAAACAGAAGAGAAAAGUGAAAUGUUCUUUCAAAGACGCAUUUCAAAUUUUAAUUAAAAAAAUUUAAUUUAAAUGAGUAUGUCUUUAUUUUUAUUAAAGUAACUUAUUUUAAAUUAUAGUGGUUUAGAAAGACAGCAUUGAAACACAAAUAUAACCAGCACCUGACGAAAUGAGGAAAACAAAAAUGAUUAGAUUGUUGCAACAAUUUUGAGAAAUUAUCUAAAUAAGACAAGAACCAAGUAAAGUUGAAAAAUAAUUGUAAUAAUUUGAUAGUAACACUACAGCUACAAGAUUAAAACAUUUUUUCCGGUAAUCUUCAUGAACCGCUAGAGCUCAAAUAAUAGAGAAUAAAUCAAAAAUCCUGCUGUGCACCGGAGCAAAAUCCAAGAGUGUGAUUACUGUUUUAAAACAAGACUGCAAAAAUGUAAAUCAUCUCAAUGCUUUGUUCUAUCACAUCAAUUUUUAUAUAAUCUCUUUGCAAAAACAGAUGAUUUUGCUUCUUUUAAGCUUAUGCAACAGUAAUCUGUCUAAAGAUACACCUGCACGUCGAUCAAGGUCGUGUUCUGCAGCAAUUCUGAUUGUUUUUGAAGAAAACUGCCCAUUUUAAUACCUCCUAUUUUUUUAACUCCUGGAAUAGAUGAGGCUGAAUGUUUCAUUGGUUUCUGUAACUAUGGCAAUGAGGAAAAUGUUUUUUUGAGGCGUUGAAAAGCCGGAGUUUCUUAAAUUCAGAGUGAAGGUUAGGAAAUGAAAGAAGCAAAAGCUGUUGUAAAAAAAAAAAUAAAAAAUCAGUCUCUCUGUUGUUUGUAGUAGAUAAACCACACUGUGAGGAGAACCAUAAACCACCAAAUGGUGCCGAGUCUGCUGAAGGACCCCCCGUGGAGGACUACCUAGUAAGACUGCAGUACACAUAAUACUCAGUUAUGUAAUCGGACUAUUUUGUUCAGAGGAGGGAUCUGUCUAUUUAUGCUGGAAAUAGCAUGGGAUUUUGUUUUCUCUUAUGUCCAAAUUGCUUUGUAUUUUUAGAAGGAUUUUUAUUAUGUAAAGGAUUUAUUUUUCUACUUUUGCUUCA
rnacentral:lncRNA from 1 species